rnacentral:tRNA from 1 species
GGGCUGGUGGACGGGCGGUUCGCCGCGCUGGUGGCGCGGCUGCCCGCGCCGGGGCCCGUCCGCUCCGGGCCGC